ACGGCUCAGUAACACGUGGCUAACCUACCCUCAGGACAAGGAUAAACCCGGGAAACUGGGGCUAAUACUUGAUAGGCGAAGAUGCCUGGAAUGGUUCUUCACUCAAAGGGCUUUAGGAACAUGCUUCUAAAGUCGCCUGGGGAUGGGGCCGCGUCCGAUCAGGUUGUUGGUGAGGUAACGGCUCACCAAGCCUAUAACCGGUACGGGCCGUGAGAGCGGUAGCCCGGAGAUGGGUACUGAGACAAGGACCCGGGCCCCACGGGGCGCAGCAGUCGCGAAAACUCCGCAAUGCACGAAAGUGUGACGGGGCUACCCCGAGUGCCGUCCGCUGAGGAUGGCUUUUCCUUGGUGUAACUAGCCGGGGGAAUAAGGAGAGGGCAAGACUGGUGUCAGCCGCCGCGGUAAUACCAGCUCUCCGAGUGGUAGGGAUGAUUAUUGGGCUUAAAGCGUCCGUAGCCGGCUUAGCCAGUCCCCUGUUAAAUUCAGCGACCUAAUCGUUGAGCCGCGGGAGAUACUACUAGGCUAGGAGGCGGGAGAGGUCGACGGUACUUCCGGGGUAGGGGUGAAAUCCUAUAAUCCCGGGAGGACCACCAGUGGCGAAGGCUGUCGACUAGAACGCGCUCGACGGUGAGGGACGAAAGCUGGGGGAGCGAACCGGAUUAGAUACCCGGGUAGUCCCAGCCGUAAACGAUGCGGGCUAGGUGUUGGGGUGGCUACGUGCCACUUCAGUGCCGCAGGGAAGCCAUUAAGCCCGCCGCCUGGGGGAGUACGGCCGCAAGGCUGAAACUUAAAGGAAUUGGCGGGGGAGCACCAAAAGGCGUGAAGUUUGCGGUUCAAUUGGAUUCAACGCCGGG
rnacentral:rRNA from 1 species